UCAGUUUUAACAUGUUCAAGCUAUCAUCACUAUAACAUGAGCAGCUCCGCCACACUGAAGCUCACCACUGGCGACGGCGGAGCACCAAAUGCAUAACCAAAUAUACCAAAUCAAUCCAUUUCCUAAGCCCUAACCAAAUCACAAAUCAAUUUCUACCAAUUCUUCAUAACAACCCCGAAUCGAGCAGAAAAUCUCUAAGAACCCUAACCAAAGAUUCAAAAAUUUAACUCUUAUAUGGAGGAAUCAAAGUCCUUGAGUUUAGGGCUUUAAUUCCCCGACAUCUCCCCUACAUGGUGGUAACUAGAACAAUGCCUGAAGAUGAUGAAAUGGCACCUACCUGCCGGAGAAAUGAAGUUUGAGCUCGGAGCAAACGAAGGUCUUGAUAGUGAUUGUUUUAGGUGAUGGUUGAAUGAAGCGUGUCAAGUGUUGGGGAUUAUAAAUGGUGAUGACCUGCCAAACAGGUUUUGUUGUAGGGGACAGUUGCUUGACAAAUGCAGGUCGUGUUUAAUUUGUAGGUUACAGGUUGAUGACCUGCAGGAGCAGGUUUAGUUGUAACUCAAAUGCAAGGCAAGGUAAUGCAAAAACUGGUUGAAUGGUUAGGUGUUAGGAGCAACUUAAUGGAUGAGCAAUGUUGUCGCAUUCAUGCUGCAGGUCAAGGUUAACAUGGUAGCUGCUUAUGAAUGGUUGUAAGUAUUAGUAUGCAUCAUGUUAGGUUAGGAUCAUGCAUUGUAUCAGGUUGUAGCAGGGCAUGACAUGUAGUAUGUCUAUUUGCACUUAAUGUUUGUGUUUGAUUCAUGUCUCUAAGCCUUAGAUACUUGUUUGCAAAUGUAUGUUUGUAGUUAAAUGUUGGAUUAUGUAUGUGUGUGUGCCUUGAAUCAUGUAUGUAUAUUUAUUGGAUUGCUAAAUGACAUGUUGAGUUCAAGGCUGGCAUGGCAAUUUUGAU